rnacentral:rRNA from 1 species
GUASGGUGCGAGCGUUAAUCGGAAUUACUGGGCGUAAAGCGUGCGCAGGCGGUUUUGUAAGUCAGAUGUGAAAUCCCCGGGCUCAACCUGGGAACUGCGUUUGAAACUACAAGGCUAGAGUGUAGCAGAGGGGGGUAGAAUUCCACGUGUAGCAGUGAAAUGCGUAGAGAUGUGGAGGAAUACCAAUGGCGAAGGCAGCCCCCUGGGUUAACACUGACGCUCAUGCACGAAAGCGUGGGGAGCAAACAGGAUUAGAUACCCUGGUAGUCCACGCCCUAAACGAUGUCUACUAGUUGUUGGGAGAGUAAAAUCUCUUAGUAACGCAGCUAACGCGUGAAGUAGACCGCCUGGGGAGUACGGUCGCAAGAUUA